GAUGAACGCUGGCGGCGUGCUUAACACAUGCAAGUCGAACGAUGAAGCCCAGCUUGCUGGGUGGAUUAGUGGCGAACGGGUGAGUAACACGUGAGUAACCUGCCCUUAACUCUGGGAUAAGCCUGGGAAACUGGGUCUAAUACCGGAUAGGAGCGCCUGCCGCAUGGUGGGUGUUGGAAAGAUUUAUCGGUUUUGGAUGGACUCGCGGCCUAUCAGCUUGUUGGUGAGGUAAUGGCUCACCAAGGCGACGACGGGUAGCCGGCCUGAGAGGGUGACCGGCCACACUGGGACUGAGACACGGCCCAGACUCCUACGGGAGGCAGCAGUGGGGAAUAUUGCACAAUGGGCGCAAGCCUGAUGCAGCGACGCCGCGUGAGGGAUGACGGCCUUCGGGUUGUAAACCUCUUUCAGUAGGGAAGAAGCGAAAGUGACGGUACCUGCAGAAGAAGCCCCGGCUAACUACGUGCCAGCAGCCGCGGUAAUACGUAGGGUGCGAGCGUUAUCCGGAAUUAUUGGGCGUAAAGAGCUCGUAGGCGGUUUGUCGCGUCUGUCGUGAAAGUCCGGGGCUUAACCCCGGAUCUGCGGUGGGUACGGGCAGACUAGAGUGCAGUAGGGGAGACUGGAAUUCCUGGUGUAGCGGUGGAAUGCGCAGAUAUCAGGAGGAACACCGAUGGCGAAGGCAGGUCUCUGGGCUGUAACUGACGCUGAGGAGCAAAAGCAUGGGGAGCGAACAGGAUUAGAUACCCUGGUAGUCCAUGCCGUAAACGUUGGCACUAGGUGUGGGGACCAUUCCACGGUUUCCGCGCCGCAGCUAACGCAUUAAGUGCCCCGCCUGGGGAGUACGGCCGCAAGGCUAAAACUCAAAGGAAUUGACGGGGGCCCGCACAAGCGGCGGAGCAUGCGGAUUAAUUCGAUGCAACGCGAAGAACCUUACCAAGGCUUGACAUGUUCUCGAUCGCCGUAGAGAUACGGUUUCCCCUUUGGGGCGGGUUCACAGGUGGUGCAUGGUUGUCGUCAGCUCGUGUCGUGAGAUGUUGGGUUAAGUCCCGCAACGAGCGCAACCCUCGUUCCAUGUUGCCAGCACGUAAUGGUGGGGACUCAUGGGAGACUGCCGGGGUCAACUCGGAGGAAGGUGAGGACGACGUCAAAUCAUCAUGCCCCUUAUGUCUUGGGCUUCACGCAUGCUACAAUGGCCGGUACAAUGGGUUGCGAUACUGUGAGGUGGAGCUAAUCCCAAAAAGCCGGUCUCAGUUCGGAUUGGGGUCUGCAACUCGACCCCAUGAAGUCGGAGUCGCUAGUAAUCGCAGAUCAGCAACGCUGCGGUGAAUACGUUCCCGGGCCU
rnacentral:rRNA from 1 species